UGGGGAAUAUUGCACAAUGGGGGCAACCCUGAUGCAGCGACGCCGCGUGGGCGAUGAAGGUCUUCGGAUCGUAAAGCCCUUUUCCAGGUGACGAGCAAGGACGGUAGCCUGGGAAGAAGUCUCGGCUAACUACGUGCCAGCAGCCGCGGUAAAACGUAGGAGGCGAGCGUUAUCCGGAGUUACUGGGCGUAAAGCGCAAGCAGGCGGUUGGGCAAGUUGGGUGUGAAAGCGUGCGGCUAAACUGCACGAGGCCAUUCAAGACUGCCCGGCUGGAGGACGGUAGAGNGGCGCAGAAUUCGGGGUGUAGCGGUGAAAUGUGUAGAGAUCCCGAGGAAUACCAGUGGGGAAGCCGGCGCCCUGGGCCGUACCUGACGCUGAGAUGCGAAAGCGUGGGGAGCGAACG
rnacentral:rRNA from 1 species